rnacentral:rRNA from 1 species
CUUUACUGCAACUUGACGUUGGAACUUGGCUGUAUUUGUGUAGGAUAGGUGGGAGACUUUGAAGCAGGGCCGCCAGGUCUUGCGGAGUCGUCGUUGAAAUACCACCCUGGUGCUGACGAGCUUCUAACCGUGUCCGUAAGCCGGACAUGAGACAGCGUCUGGUGGGCAGUUUGACUGGGGCGGUCGCCUCCUAAAAGGUAACGGAGGCAUUCAAAGGUCCCCUCAGCGUGGUCGGUAAUCACGCGCAGAGUGCAAACGCAUAAGGGGGCUUAACUGCGAGACCGACAGGUCGAGCAGGUACGAAAGCAGGAGUUAGUGAUCCCGCGGUUUAGCGUGGAAUUGCCGUUGCUCAAUGGAUAAAAGGUA